GUCGAGCGAACAGACGAGGAGCUUGCUCCUCUGACGUUAGCGGCGGACGGGUGAGUAACACGUGGAUAACCUACCUAUAAGACUGGGAUAACUUCGGGAAACCGGAGCUAAUACCGGAUAAUAUAUUGAACCGCAUGGUUCAAUAGUGAAAGACGGUUUUGCUGUCACUUAUAGAUGGAUCCGCGCCGCAUUAGCUAGUUGGUAAGGUAACGGCUUACCAAGGCAACGAUGCGUAGCCGACCUGAGAGGGUGAUCGGCCACACUGGAACUGAGACACGGUCCAGACUCCUACGGGAGGCAGCAGUAGGGAAUCUUCCGCAAUGGGCGAAAGCCUGACGGAGCAACGCCGCGUGAGUGAUGAAGGUCUUCGGAUCGUAAAACUCUGUUAUUAGGGAAGAACAAAUGUGUAAGUAACUAUGCACGUCUUGACGGUACCUAAUCAGAAAGCCACGGCUAACUACGUGCCAGCAGCCGCGGUAAUACGUAGGUGGCAAGCGUUAUCCGGAAUUAUUGGGCGUAAAGCGCGCGUAGGCGGUUUUUUAAGUCUGAUGUGAAAGCCCACGGCUCAACCGUGGAGGGUCAUUGGAAACUGGAAAACCUGAGUGCAGAAGAGGAAAGUGGAAUUCCAUGUGUAGCGGUGAAAUGCGCAGAGAUAUGGAGGAACACCAGUGGCGAAGGCGACUUUCUGGUCUGUAACUGACGCUGAUGUGCGAAA
rnacentral:rRNA from 1 species